rnacentral:misc_RNA from 1 species
AGUUUCUGCCCAAAAAGGUGGAACUCCACUAAGUAAUAUGUACAAGAUAACUCCUGCACUCCAUACAUCUGAUUCAGGUCCAUAAUGCUUGCAUAAAACUUCUGGGGCAACAUAAUAAGGACUUCCAACAACAUCAGAGAAUGUUUCACCUGGCUUAUAGAAAACAGAAAGGCCAAAAUCAGUGGCCUUGAGGGCAGCAUCUUCUUGAGAACUAAGA